AAAUAGAAGUGAAAAUGUCAGCUUGAGUAGCAUAAAUAUUAGUAAAAUCUAAUACUCCGAAAGCUAAAAGGUUUCCUAUGGAAGGAUAUACCACGUAGGUAAAGUCGGGGCCUAAAAUUAGAUAUAAUAUGUAAUUGAUGGUUAAAAGGUUAAAUUUCCUUUACCAUAAUAUAUAAUCUAAACAAAUAGUGACCUAUAAUUUUUUAGUAUAUUUUUAAGGUAUAGUUUCUUAAUAUACUAAAAAUAUAUAGCUAGAAAAAUGUAUAUGUUAUAUAUAUAUUAUGCCCGUACUAAAACUGACACAAGUAAGCAAGUAUAAAUGUACUAAGGAGUACGAAAUAACUUUCUCUAAGGAACUCGGCAAAAUAAUCCUGUAACUUCGGGAAAAAGGAUGCCCAAAGGGCUGCAAUGAAAAGAUCCAAGCGACUGUUUAUCAAA
rnacentral:rRNA from 1 species